CAUGCAAGUCGAACGAGAAAGUGACUUCGGUCACUGGAAAGUGGCGUCCGGGUGAGUAACACGUGGGUAAUCUACCCUCGGGUGGGGAAUAACGGAUCGAAAGAUUCGCUAAUACCGCAUAAUGCAGCGGCACCUAAUGGUGAAUAGUUGUUAAAGCGGGGGAUCGCAAGACCUCGCGCCUGAAGAGGAGCCUGCGGCAGAUUAGCUAGUUGGUGAGGUAAUGGCUCACCAAGGCUACGAUCUGUAGCUGGUCUGAGAGGACGGCCAGCCACACUGGCACUGACACACGGGCCAGACUCCUACGGGAGGCAGCAGUGGGGAAUUUUGGGCAAUGGGCGAAAGCCUGACCCAGCAACGCCGCGUGAGGGAGGAAAUCCUUCGGGAUGUAAACCUCGCAAGCAAGGGAAGAAUGCCCGAGACUUAAUACGUUUCGGGAGGGACGGUACCUUGCGUAAGCCACGGCUAACUACGUGCCAGCAGCCGCGGUAAUACGUAGGUGGCAAGCGUUGUUCGGAAUUAUUGGGCGUAAAGGGCGCGUAGGCGGUUUGUUAAGUCGGUCGUGAAAGCCCGGGGCUCAACCCCGGAGGGUCGACCGAUACUGGCAGGCUAGAGUACAGAAGAGGUAGCUGGAAUUCCCGGUGUAGCGGUGAAAUGCGUAGAUAUCGGGAGGAACACCUGAGGCGAAGGCGGGCUACUGGGCUGAUACUGACGCUGAGGCGCGAAAGCUAGGGGAGCAAACGGGAUUAGAUACCCCGGUAGUCCUAGCCCUAAACGAUGGAUACUUGGUGUGUUGGGUAUUUAAGUCCCAGCGUGCCGGAGCUAACGCGUUAAGUA
rnacentral:rRNA from 1 species